UACAGAGGGGGCAAGCGUUGUUCGGAAUUACUGGGCGUAAGCGUGCGCAGGCGGUGAUGUAAGACAGAUGUGAAAUCCCCGGGCUCAACCUGGGAACUGCAUUUGUGACUGCAUCGGCUGGAGUGCGGCAGAGGGGGAUGGAAUUCCGCGUGUAGCAGUGAAAUGCGUAGAUAUGCGGAGGAACACCGAUGGCGAAGGCAAUCCCCUGGGCCUGCACUGACGCUCAUGCACGAAAGCGUGGGA
rnacentral:rRNA from 1 species